GCAGACCAAGAGCCGAGUGGUCUUCUCAGCCGAGGAGCUCAUCUAUCCUGAUCGGAGGCUGGAGGCCAAGUAUCCCCAGGUCCAUGAUGGGAAGAGGUUCUUGGGCUCUGGAGGAUUCAUUGGCUAUGCCCCAAACCUGAGCAAGCUAGUGGCCAGCUGGCAAGGCCAAGACAGUGACAGUGACCAGCUCUUUUAUACCAAGAUCUUCUUAGACCCGGAGCAAAGGGAGAAGAUUAACAUCACCCUAGACCAUCGCUGCCGAAUCUUCCAGAACCUGGAUGGAGCCUUGGGUGAGUGGUCACAGCAGUGAGAAGGGGGAUCAUAUGGGACAGAAGGAGGGAGGGACAGAAGGAGGAAAUGCACAUGCACACCCUGUCACACAAAGCAUCCCUGGUCUCCUGGAAGCCUUUUCAAUAGGGAGAAAGGGUCAGGGUCAAGAGGACCUGAG